GUCCAGACCGUAAACGGUGGGCACUAGUUGUGGGAACCUUCCACGGUUUCUGCGACGCAGCUAACGCAUUAAGUGCCCCGCCUGGGGAGUACGAUCGCAAGAUUAAAACUCAAAGGAAUUGACGGGGCCCCCGCACAAGCAGCGGAGCAUGCGGCUUAAUUCGACGCAACGCGAAGAACCUUACCAAGGCUUGACAUAUAGGGAAAAGUGGCAGAGAUGUCAUGUCCGCAAGGGCUCUAUACAGGUGGUGCAUGGUUGUCGU
rnacentral:rRNA from 1 species